rnacentral:lncRNA from 1 species
GUAUGGAAAAGUCAGUGUUCCAUGAGAUGAUGGUUCCCUGUUUCUGAGAAUAAACCUGGAGAACAAUCUGCAGAUGAUACCAAAUGGUUGUAUGAGUUCAACAGAGAGACUUGCCCAGCCUGAUGUCAAAACAUAAGUCAUAAAAAAGGUGGCCUGCAAAAAAGGAAAAAUCAUAUUAUGCAAUCAAUCAACUUUUGUGGUCAUGUGAUUCAAUGAAUUAUACCGAUCAAAAAAGGUGGCCUGCAAGAAGAAAAAUCAUAUUAUGCAAUCACUCAACUCUCGUGAUCACGUGAUUACAUGAAUUAUACUGAUACCAGUAUCAUUGACGAAAGACUAGGGUAAACAAACUAGUCCAUUUACAUUGCUAAGGGAAACCUAGAUACUAAGGAAAUUAUAAAAAAAGCAGGGGAAAAAGUAGGUGUACGAGAGGUUCUCUAAUUCCAAACUAGACAGGUUAGAAGCAGAUUUGGCACUAGAAGACAUCAUUAUGCUGUUGUAGUUUUGUUUGGCUUGCAAUCAAAUUCAGUCUCAGAUUUUAAAUAUUUAGCUUCUCUGCGCUUUACAAAUCAAAUGAUGUUGAAUAUCAAAUCAAACAAUGUUGAAAAGCAGCAGUUUUGUUGACUUCUCUAAUUUUCUGUGUCAGAGAAAAUGGAAGAUAUUUUCUUUUCUGCCUUUAUAAAAUCGAACAAUGUGGGAAAGCUGAAAUGUACUUCCUCCAGAAGAUUAGUACCUUCCCUUUCCGCUCCUGAAUAACCUUAAAUUGAAUUUUGUGCAUUCAUUUAUUGCUAAAACCAAGAUAGAAACUAUAAUAUUCCCAUACCACAAUUUUAAUGCUAAAACCAAGAUAGAAACAACACAAAGAAGACCAGCUUUCUCAUUCAUCAACCAGCAGAAAAGCUAAAAGAAGCUAUUAUCAUUAAACACAUAAGAAAGCCUCAACAUAAAACAAUAUGAAUACCCAAAUUCAAGAUAUCGAGAGAGAGAGAGAGAGAGAGAGAGAGAGAGAGAGAGAGAGAGAGAUGGGUUGUAUAUUUAUCAAUAUUUAAAAAAGAUAGUUAUAUCAAGAGGGAAAGCAGGUAAACACACGGAGAGGGGGUGCAGUUACCGUUGAUGGCACAGCCGUUGAAAGUAGAUUGUUUACAUCCUUAAAGAUUUUGUUUAAUCUCUCAAUAACAGAACCGGAGACGAUGUUACCAAAGAAAACAUUCCAGAAGAAGAAGUAAAUAACUUUUAUGCAUGCACUCCUCUUCCUGCCACUACGAGAGAUGGAACCCUCCAUUUUAGAAAAUAGCAACAUCAAUGGAGGAACAAUGUAGGAAAAUAAAAUUAAUACAACACUAGGUAGAUAUCCAGUGACUAGCUGAGUCACUCCUGUCCUGCAAGAAAGAGGGGGAAAAGGAUUACUACAUUGCUCAUGUAUGUUUUCAAUGUUACCAAAGAAAACAUUCCAGAUGAAGAAGUAUAUAACUUUUAUGCAUGCACUCCUCUUCCUGCCACUACGAGAGAUAGAGCCCUCCAUUUUAGGAAAUAACAUCAUCAAUGGAGGAACAAUGUAGGAAAAUAAAAUUAAUACAACACUUGGUAGGUAUCCAGUGACUAGCUGAGUCACUCCUUGCCUGCAAGAAAGAGGGGGAAAAGGAUUACUACUCAUGUAUGUUUUCAUCUUAUAAAUUGAAAUGCUCUAAUUAUAGCAAACAGGAACUAUCAUAAUGCAACGGAAGAAGGUAAAGUUCCAGCAUCAUCCUCUCAAACAAGUUAGGUCUUGAAAUAAUGCAGCCAGACUUUAUUGAUAUAAUGUCCACAAGCUAUAUACAUGCACACAACCCCUCUCUCUCUCUCACACACACAUGCACGCGCGCGCACAUGGAAUACAAUUUCUACUCCAAGCAAAACACAAGUCAAGAUACUAGGUCUAACACUGCAUUACCU